CACCAUGUCCAUCUUCAUCUCGAGCCCCAACAUUGGCUCACUGUGACUGCUCGCUAGCACGAUCCAACUGUCUAUUCCACAAUAGACAAUAUAUUCUCUUCAUCCCUACAUGCUAGGGUCAAAUCCAAGUUUCUAUCUCAUUCUUGCAUGUACCGCUCGGAGUUCGUAUCGUUUCCAAGUAUACAAUCUUCUUACUGAAGGCAGUUUACUACAACUUCACUUUUCCAAUACUACACGCGGCCUUGCCGUGUGAAAGUCACCACAAUCAUUCCUCUCGAAGUAAAAGGUCAACCAACAGACCUUUCCGAAUUCUAGGAUAACGACUACAACUCCCUUCCGGGUGUCACUUAACACUCGAUUAACCACUUGAGCUCAAUAUCAGUCGCUUAUCCUUCAUUCUUCACUAAUCAAUUCGCGCAUCUUCCGCACAAAUAUCACUUAACUUCGACCAUAAGAUUCAAUUUGAUACUUCCUCAGAAGUUCAUAGCUUAGGACUGCGUAUAACUUUGACACAUUUUCUGUCGAAGUUUCCUUAUUUCAUAAUCGGCCUUGUUUCCAAUAUCUUACACUGUGUACUAAUCAUAGCUUAGCAUAUAGAAAAUCUUUCUACCUACUUUCCUCUGAACAGGCAUCCUGCUAUAGCCCCCAUGAUUUAUCUUGAAGUCCACUUGUCGUUAAUUCCAACAACAACUCUAUAUCCUGUCCCCGAUUUCUCGUUCUCUUUCACACGAUUCGCGUUCAUCACGCGUAAUCACAUUUCCACGCUCCACCUAAAGAGCUCGAUCCAGGACUUCUUCAAAUGACUUUAGCUUUAAAGCAUUGAUCAUUUUGAAUAUCUCAGGCCAUAAUCCCCGCUCGAAGUAUUCUGCUCGAUCUGCGGGUAUUCCUUUAUCCAAAAUAGAUGGAUUAAAUUUCCCGAAGGUCACAAGGGUUAUCCAACUACUUCACAGUCUUCUAGAGUCCAUUGACUCAAUCCACCAAAUUUGUGCAUCCUUUUCGAAACAGUGUGCUGCCAAAUGAAUCUUAUCCUUUUCCAGGGUACAGAUGUCCUCAAAUAAGGCUUCCAUCGAUGUGAGCCAUGUCUCCAAUAUCCAAAGAUCUACCUCUUUUCCAUCCAAUAUAGGCGGAUUAAACCGCAUAAACGCCGUCAGUCCUACUAACGAUUGCUUGUGCUCAGCCCUUGUUGCAGUCGAAUCAAAAUCAGACGGCCCAGAAACCACUGGAGGGAUAAUCACUGAAGGAGGGGGCACAAUCGCUGGCGGAUCAGGUAUAGGUGCAUCCUGACUCCCAGAUGCUGGUGUUGUCGCCUGUUGCGACACUAGAUCCUGUAACCUCCUUAUGUUCUCUUCCCACCUCUGCAUAGCUCCAACCAACGCGCUCACCGGAGCACGUAGCUCCU
rnacentral:lncRNA from 1 species